rnacentral:lncRNA from 10 species
UAAAAUUGUAAACUUAAGUAUUGUGCUUUCCCAAGUUCUGUGAGUCAUUCUAGCAAAUGACCACACUGAUGGGGCAGUGGAAACCACAGAAUUUGUAGUCAUUUAGUCAGAAGCACAGAUGGCCACAAAACCCUGGAGUUUCCGGCUGGUGCCUGAAGUGAGGAGGAUCUUGUGAGGGACCCAACCCUCAACCUGAGAAGUCUGUGCUCAAAGUCUGAAUAAAGUCAGAAUUGUAUUGAAGUGUUUAAGAUAAAUAAGGAGCAGAAAAAAGGCAAAAUUGUGUUUGGAAAACAUCAAGAGGGAAGACCACAUUUGGGGGACUACAGGAACCAAAAUACGGAGUUUGAAUGUUUUUCCUAAGCACAAUGGAACCUGUGGAAGAUUUUUAGCAGUAUUCGCAAAAAAGCUCUUACAAUAUUCCAUUCUGUGAGAAGUUUCGACCAAAAAGACAUCCACAAGUGCUGUCAAAUUGAAAGCACACAAGUCACCUUCCUAAAGAGAAGUUUUCUCAUGCCGUUUGCAAUGGAUUCCUUUCCUCCUGUCUCUACACUCCAGCCCCAGGCAACCAACGAUCUGCUUUGUCACUGUGGAUUAGUUUGUUUGAUUUAGCAUUUUAUAUCAAAGAAAUCAUAGAGUCUGUAUCUUUUUUUGUCUUGCUUCUUUCACUCAGCAUAAUUAUUUUGAGAUUUAUUGUGUUGUAGCAUGAAUAAGUAGUUAAUUUAUAUCUACUGGUGUGAAGUAUUCUAUUGCAUGGAAACAACACAAUUUAUGUAUCUAUUCACACAUUGAUGUACUUGGCAAGUAAAGUUGCUAUGUGGUGUUAUAAUUUGCAUUUUCCUAGUGAAUAAUGAUGUUCAGCAUCUUUUCAUAGAUUAGUUGGUCAUCCAGCUACUUUGGGGAAGUAUCUGCUCAAAUAUUUUGAUUAUUUUAAAAAAUUGGAUUGUUUGAUUUUUAGUAAGUUUCAGUAAACAUUUGAGUUUUUAGAAUUGUUUAUGCAUUUGGUAUACAGGCCCUUUGUGAGAUAUGUGAUGUGCAAAUAUUUUCUCCCAGUCUGUGGCUUGUCUUUUCAUUCUCUUUCAAUGACUUUCAAAGUGUUAUUUUUAAUUGUAAUGAAGUCCAACUCAUUAAUUUUUUUGUUAUGGUUUGUGUUUUCAUUGACAUAUCAAUAAAAUCUUUGCCUAAUUUCAUGCCAUAAAGAUAUUUUUCCUGUAUUUUCUCCCUGAAGAUAUAUAGUAUUUUGUUUUACAUUUAGGUCUAUUACUCAUGUUGAUCCAAUUUGAGUUAAUUUCUGUAUAUGGUAUGAGGUAUUAAGAGAGUUCAUUUUUUACAUGAAUAUUCAAUAACUAUAGCACUAUUCAUUCAAAAGAUUAUCCUGUGUGCACUGAAUUGCUUUAUAAAAACUCAGUUGUUCAUAUAUUUAUAUGUCUGUUUCUAGACUCUUAGUUGUUUCAUUUAUCUGUCUGUCUUUACACAAGUGCCACACUCUAUGAUUAAUGUAGUUUUAUAAUAAGCCUUGAACCUAGGUAGCAUUAUUCCUGUAACUUUAUUUUUCAAAGUUGUUAUGACUCUUUAUAUAAGCUUUAUAAAUGGCUUUUUGAAUUUCCAUAUGAAUUUUGAAAGUGGUCUGUCAUUUCUAUUAAAAAGAAGACAAAAACCCCUGGGAAUUUUAUUAAGAUUGCAUUAAAUCUAUAGGUCAAUUUAAGAAGAAUUGACAUUUUAAAACUAUUAAGAUUUCUAAUUCAUGCACAUAGUAUCUCUUUGCUUAUCUAAGACAUAAUUUUUUCAACGUUUUGUAGUUUUCAGUGUAUUAGUCCUUUACAUGUUUCCAGAAAUUUUUCCUGUUUCACUUAUUUCUAGUUUCUAAAGGUAGAAGUUGAGAUAAUUGAUUUCAGAUCUUAUUUCUUUUCUAAUGCAGAUCUUUCACACUAUAAAUUACUGAUUUAGUGGCAUGCAUAAAUUUCAGUAUGCUGCAUUUUUAUUUUUAUUUAAAAAUUAUUUGUAAUUUAUUUUUUAUUCUUCCUUUGACUCCCUCACCGUUCAGUUUUUAGAAGUACUUUAGCUAGUUCUCUCUCUCUCAAUUUUAUUUAAUUUCAUUGUGAUCAAAAAAUAUACUUUGAAUAACAAAUUUUUUUAAGUUUAUAAAGAUUUAUUUUCUGGUUAAGAAUAUAGUCUAUUUUGGUGACUAAUUCAUGAGCCCCUGAAAAUAAGGCAUAUUUUCAGUUUUAAAUAAAGUGCUAAAUGCCAGUUAUGUCAAUUUGGUCUCCUAAAUGCCAAUUAUGUCAAUUUGGUUUAUGAUAUUGUUUGGCUGUUCUCUCAUGUAUCUUUAUUGACUCUCUAUCUACUUAUCAAUUAUUGACACAGGAGUAUUUAAAUUGCCAACUAUAAUUAUGGAUUUAUCAAUUUCUCCUUCCAGUUCUAUCAGUUUAUACUUUAUGUAUUUUGAAAUUUUGUUGAAUUCUAGGUGGUAAAGCCCAUUAUCACUCAAAUUACGAUCAAAUGACCCAGUUUCUUGGGAAUGCUAACAUUCUUGAAUUUACAUUUUCUAUUGCUAUGCCUCCAAAUUAAUCGCCCCAUAUAAAGAGAUGCUUAGGCUGAGAGUAUGCCCAGGAUGGAAAGAGGAGACAAACACACGAAGUACCCAAUAGCAUUGUCUUCAAAGGACAGGCUCUGAUAGCCGAGCAGGAAAAGGGAAAAUUAGGUGAAAAAAACCUCAUCUUUUAUUAGAAGUCUUCUUUGAGGGAAACACUAAUUUUCAUCGUGAAUAUCAUUCAGCUGGAGGUGGCAUUGAAGAUUUAAUUUGGAAAGAUGUCAAGAAAACAAAGGAUUUCUCUCUGACCUCCUUUCCCCAAUGGAAAAGAUGAUAUCACUUCGAAGUUUCUUCUAAAACAAAGAAUAACUUUUCAAAAGUUUCCUUUGAAAUUGGAGUCAGUAAAGCUGAACAAAAAUAUCAUAAACACACCUAAUCUUUGUCCACUUCCCAAGCCUGUCCCAAUUUCUGAUGAAUGCUACACUCAGAACCAUUUCUCAUAUAAAGAGAACAUUUGCUAUUUAUUGGAAAAAGUUCCAUUUUUUUGACAAUGUACUGUAAUUCCUUGGGAGUAGGCUCCUAAAUUGUCAAUCUUGGCAUAUGAAAAAUUCAAACGAAUUAACAAUAAAAUUGUUAUAUUAGUCUGUUCUCACACUGCUGUGAAGAAACAUCAGAGACUGGGUAACUUAGAAAGGAAAGAGGUUUACAUGACUCACAGUUCUGCGUUGCUGGGGAGGCCUCAGAAACUUACAAUAAUGGCAGAAGGCAAAACAGAAGCAGGCACCUUACUCACAGUGCAGCAGGAUGGAAUAAGUGCAAGCAAGGGAUACGCUGGAUGCUUAUAAAACCAUCAGAUCUCCUGAGAACUCACUCACUAUCAUGAGAACAGCAUGGGGGAACCGCCACCAUCAUCCAAUUACCUCCACCUGUUCCCGCCCUUGACACAUGGAGAUUAUGGGGAUUACAAAUCAAGGUGGUGAAGAAAUGACAUAUGACAAAGCACAACAGAAAAUAUUCCUGAGGGUAAGCCAUGGCGUUUCAUCAAUUAACAAUAAAGGAAGAAAGCAGGCCUAAAGCCUAUGAUGGAAAAAGAAAAUGGCAGAAGAGAUUGUGAACUUAAGUAAAGUAUUGUAGGUUCAGGAGUACAUGUGCAGAAUGUGCAGUGUUGUUACAUAGAUAAAUGUGUGUCAUGAUGGUUUGCUGCACGGAUCAUCUCAUCACCCAGGUAUUAAGCCCAGCAUCCAUUAGCUAUUCUUUCUUAUGCUCUCCCUUCUAAAAAGUGUUCUACCCUUCACCUUAAAAAAUGCCCCAGUGUGUGUUCUCCACCCCCAUCAUGUGUGCAUGUGUUCUCAUAAUUCAGCUCCCACUUAUAAGAGAGAGCAUGCAGCAUUUGGUUUUCUUUUCCUGCAUUAAUUUGCUGAUAAUAAUGGCUUCCAUGACCUUGCAAAGGACAUGAUUUUGUUCCUUUUUAUGGCUGCAUAGUAUGUAUAUGUACCACAUUUCCUUUAUCCAGUCUAUCAUUUGAUGGGCAUUUAGGUUGAUUCCAUCUCUUUGCAAUUGUGAAGAGUGCUGCAAUAAAUAUACACAUGCAUGUAUCUUUAUAAUAAAAAGAUUUAUAUUCCUUUGGUUAUAUAUCCAGUAAUUGGGAUUGCUGGGUCGAAUCGUAUUUCUGCCUCUAGGUCUUUGAGGAAUGGCCACACUGUCUUCUACAAUGGUUGAGCUAAUUUACACUCCCACCAAUAGUGCAUAAGUAUUCCCUUUUCUCGGCAACCUCACCAUCAUCUGCUAUUAUUUUUUUUGACUUUUUAGUAAUAGCCAUUCUAACUGGUGUUAGAUGGUAUCUGAUUAUGGUUUUGAUUUGCAUUUCACUAAUAAUCAGUGAUGUUGAGCUUUUCUUCAUGUAUUUGCUGGCCACAUGUAUGUCCUCUUUUGAGAAGUGUCUGUUCAUGUCCUUUGCCCACUUUUUAAUGUGGUUGUUUGGUGGUUUUUUUCUUGUAAAUUGUUUAAGCUUCAUGUAGAUGCUGGAUAUUAGACCUUUAUCAGGUGGAUAGAGUGCAAAAAUUUUCUUCCGCUCUUUACAUUGUCUGUUUCCUCUGUUGAUAGUUUCUUUUGCUGUGCAGAAACUCUUUUGUUUAAUUAAAUCCCAUUUGUCAAUUUUUGCUUUUGUUCCAAUUGCUUUUGGCAUCUUCGUCAUGAAAUCUUUGCCUGUGCCUAUAUCCUGAAUAGAAUUGCCUUUGUUUUCUUAUAGGGUUUUUAUAGUUUUGGGUUUUACAUUGAAGUCUUUAAACCAUAUUGAGUUAAUUUCUGUAUAAGUUGUAAGGAAUGGGUCCUGUUUCAAUUUUCUGCAUAUAGCUAGGCAGUUCUUUCUGUACCAUUUAUUAAACAGGGAAUCUUUUCCCCAUUGCUUGUUUUUGUCAGAUUUGUCAAAGAUCAGAUGGUUGUCAGUGUGUAGUCUUAUUUCUGCGUUCUCUAUUCUGUUCCAUUGAUCUGUGUGUCUGUUCUUGUACCAGUAUCAUGCUGUUUUGAUUACUGUAGCCCUGUAGUAUAGUUUGAAUUCAGAUAGCAUGAUGCCUUCAGCUUCGUUCUUUUUGCUUAGAAUAGCCUUGGCUAUUUGGGCUCUUUUUUUGUUUUCAUAGGUAUUAUAAAACAGUUUUUUCUAAUUCUAUGAGGAAUGUCAAUGGUAGUUUAACAGGAACAGCACUGAAUCUAUAAAUUACUUCAGGCAGUAUGGCCAUUUUCACAAUAUUGAUUCUUCCUAUUCAUGAACGUGAACUUUUUUGUGUUUACUUUUGUCAUCCCUGACUCCUCUGAGCAGAGCUUUGUAGUUACCUUGUAGAGAUAUUUCACAUCCUUUGUUAGCUGUAUUCCUAUGUGUUUUAUUCUGUUUGUGAUGAUUGUGAUUGGGAGUUCAUUUGUGAUUUGACUCUCAACUUGACUCUUGUUGGUGUACAGGAAUGCUAACAAUGUUUGC